UACGAAGGGGGCUAGCGUUGCUCGGAAUCACUGGGCGUAAAGGGCGCGUAGGCGGAUCUUUAAGUCGGGGGUGAAAGCCCAGGGCUCAACCCUGGAAUUGCCUUCGAUACUGAAGAUCUCGAGACCGGAAGAGGUAAGUGGAACUGCGAGUGUAGAGGUGAAAUUCGUAGAUAUUCGCAAGAACCCCAGUGGCGAAGGCGGCUCACUGGCCCGAUACUGACGCUGAGGCACGAAAGCGUGGGGAGCAAACAGG
rnacentral:rRNA from 1 species